AGCGAACGCUGGCGGCAGGCUUAACACAUGCAAGUCGAGCGGACCUUUCGGGGUCAGCGGCGGACGGGUGAGUAACGCGUGGGAACGUGCCUUCCGGUUCGGAAUAACCCUGGGAAACUAGGGCUAAUACCGGAUACGCCCUUAUGGGGAAAGGUUUACUGCCGGAAGAUCGGCCCGCGUCUGAUUAGCUAGUUGGUGGGGUAACGGCCUACCAAGGCGACGAUCAGUAGCUGGUCUGAGAGGAUGAUCAGCCACACUGGGGCUGAGACACGGUCCAGACUCCUACGGGAGGCAGCAGUGGGGAAUAUUGGACAAUGGGCGCAAGCCUGAUCCAGCCAUGCCGCGUGAGUGAUGAAGGCCUCAGGGUUGUAAAGCUCUUUUAUCCGGGACGAUAAUGACGGUACCGGAGGAAUAAGGCCCGGCUAACUUCGUGCCAGCCGCCGCGGUAAUAC
rnacentral:rRNA from 1 species